AGAGUUGAUCAUGGCUCAGGACGAACGCUGGCGGCGUGCUUAACACAUGCAAGUCGAACGGGGAUAUGCUGGAAGCCCUCGGGGUGGAAGGCGGUAUUCGAGUGGCGGACGGGUGAGUAACGCGUGAACAAUCUGUCCCAGACAGGGGGAUAACACUUGGAAACAGGUGCUAAUACCGCAUGAGACCACGGGAUCGCAUGGUUCCGGGGUAAAAGGAGCGAUCCGGUUUGGGGUGAGUUCGCGUCCGAUUAGCCAGUUGGCGGGGUAACGGCCCACCCAAAGCGACGAUCGGUAGCCGAUCUGAGAGGAUGACCGGCCACAUUGGAACUGAGAGACGGUCCAAACUCCUACGGGAGGCAGCAGUGGGGAAUAUUGGGCAAUGGGCGAAAGCCUGACCCAGCAACGCCGCGUGAGUGAAGAAGGCCUUCGGGUUGUAAAGCUCUGUUAUAGGGGACGAAGGAAGUGACGGUACCCUAUAAGGAAGCCCCGGCUAACUACGUGCCAGCAGCAGC
rnacentral:rRNA from 1 species